ACUGUGAACACUUGUCCUGCAUAAAUUAUUUUUCCUCGCGCGAUCCCAAGUCCGUCGAAAGUCGAAUUGUUUACUCCGUCGAAACAGCAACGAAAUGCUCUAGAAGAUCCUUUCGGAUGACGGUGAAGAGCCCUUAAAAAGCCCCAAGAAUGUGACGACCACGAAGGGUCAGAAAAAGCGCAGACGGAAUUCCAAUUUUUUUGACAGUGCCCAAAUGCCUGUAGAAGAUUCAGGAAGAAAUGAAGACUUAAAAUCAGACACCUUUGUCCGAACUCCUUCCGUCCUGUGCUCCAAUCUUAGAACCGUCGCCCGUCAAGUUUUGUCUGCAGGCCGUCUUCAUCUGAAUUAAUUUUAAAUACUUAAUAUGUUAAUAAUAUUAAUACUUAAAUGUUACUGAGUUGCCAUGGCUUUUAAGGAAUAUAGGGUGACAACUCUGUUUCCAGCAGAUUGGUUUUAUCGAGCGAGAAUUGCAAACGCAGCAAGCGGGUUGAGUUGUGAAAAAAUUUGACAUCCGACAAUUCAGUACGACAUUUGACAUUAGUUAAAUUGAUUUCAGACUGUGCGCACUUGCCCGGCAUAAAUUAUUUUUACUCGCACGAUGCCAAGCCCGUCGAAAGUCGAAUAGUUUACUCCGUCGAAACAGAAACGAAAUGAUCCAGAAGAUUCUUUCGGAUGGUGGUGAAGAGCCCUCAAAAAUCCCCAAGAUUAUGACGACCACGAAGGGUUAGAAAAAGCGCAGACGGAAUUCCAAGUUUUUUGACAGGGCCCAAAUGCCUGUAGAAGACUCAGAAAUAAAUGAAGCCUUAAAAUCAGACACCUUUGUCCGAACUCUUUCCGUCCUGUGCUCCAAUCUUAGAACCGUCGCCUGGCCAGUUUUUCUGCAGGCCGUCUUCAUCUGAAUUAAUUUUAAAUACUUAAUAUGCUAACAAUAUUAAUACUUAAAUCUUACUGAGUUGCCAUGGCUUUUAAGGAAUAUAGGGUGACAACUCUGUUUCCAGCAGAUUGGUUUUAUCGAGCGAGAAUUGCAAACGCAGCAAGCGGGUUGAGUUGUGAAAAAAUUUGACAUCCGACAAUUCAGUACGACAUUUGACAUUAGUUAAAUUGAUUUCAGACUGUGCGCACUUGCCCGGCAUAAAUUAUUUUUACUCGCACGAUGCCAAGCCCGUCGAAAGUCGAAUUGUUUACUCCGUCGAAACAGGUAAGACCUCUUGUUUAGCAACGAAAUGCUCCAGAAGAUUCUUUCGGAUGGUGGUGAGGAGCCCUCAAAAAGCCCCAAGAUUAUGACGACCACGAAGGGUCAGAAAAAGCGCAGACGGAACUCCAAGUUUUUUGACAGAGCCCAAAUGCCUGUAGAAGAUUUAGAAAUAAAUGAAGCCCAAAAAUCAGACACAUUUGUCCGAACUCCCUCCGUCCUGUGCUCCGAUCCUAGAACCGUCGCCCGGUAAGUUUUGUCUGCAGGGCGUCUUUUUGAAUUUUGCCAACCAGGGGAGCUCUGAAUCCAUCCACUUAGAUCCGACGAGGAUCUUAUGCGACCCCCAAGUUUAUCUAGGGUACUUAAAGCCCGACGUUUACCAACCUAGAACAAGUAGAACUUCGCAAAGUUGAUGCUGUGGAGCCGGAGUUCGGAAAACGUGUGCACGAUGAAGUGUUUCUGGAAACUUCUGGAGACUUUGGCUGUAGAGCCAGUUGAAGAAAUGCAAAUGAACGAGCGUAGACCACCAGAUACUCAGAUUCUGGGCAUUCCCGAACAUUGGGGCUCAUCAGCUCCUUGGCUAUCUCGCUUUCAAAGCCAACGGUUCUGGCUCUGCAGAUGAUGGUUUGGCAUCAAUCCUGCCAAAGCCCUAAGAAGAGUCAGGGAUUCACUAGUGGCUACAGCAAUGUAGUAAGCCCAUCUCCCAGAAGCAGUUGCCGGGAGCAGCAGUUUCUGGGAGACGGUCUUACUGCAUUGCUGUAUCCACUCCUGAAGCUCUCACUCAUCUUUGGGUCGUGGCGGAAUUGUCCCAAGCCAACAUUCGCAAAACCAAGAAUCCUUGGCCUUGAAAGUGAGCUGCCCAAGGAACAGAUGAAGCCACAAUGUUAAGGAAUGUCGGGCAUCAGAGUGUCUGCUGGUCUAGGAUCGUUCAGUUGCAUUUCUUUAUCUGGCUCUACAGCAGAAGUCUCCAGAAGUUUCCAGGUCCAUUUCAUUGUGCACUCGUUUUUCGAGCUUUGUCUCCACAUCAUCAACUUUGCGAGGUUCUACUUGCUCUGGAUGAGUAAUCGUCGGGCCUUAGGAACCCUAGAUGAACUUGUUGGUGGCAUAAGCUCCUCGCUGGAUUUAAUUGGAUGGGUUCAGAGUUCCUCUGGUUGCCGGAAUUCAAUAUGACACCCUGCACACUAAUCGUGUCGGGCGAAGGAGUGCUCAGAGUGCCCCGGAGAAUGAGUGGCAGAAUAGCUCCACAGUUCGCCUCGAAGACUUCGACGAUAUCGAUUACCAAGACAUGACGGUAAACAAGGAUCCACAAGCAAAAAGACUCGCCUCCAAGUGAAAAGAACAGUAUGGUCUCAAGUCGGCGGAGCAAUAACCAGUUCGUCAAGGAGCAGUUCUUCCAAAAGAUCUGGAUCCUCAGACGUCCUACGAAACCUAAAACCGUCUUCAAAAGCGACAUCGGCCAAUGGCACGUUGAUGAUUAUGACCGGAAGAAGUGGGAAAAUGAUGGAAGAUGAAUUUCAAGGUAGAUCCCUCCUGCACUUACGCCUCGUUUUCGCUGCCAACUUUCCCUGGAGCGUUAAUAUGCAGGAAUUCAAUAAGGCCCUUUUCUCGAAACUUUUCCUGCGUGAGACCAACUUCCAUGUGAACAAGGAAAUGACCUGUGUAUCCGCCAGACUCUAUUUUUCGGAAAUUUUCCAGUUUUUUGCCAUGACUGAAAUGCUGAAGAAACUGUUCCUGCUAUCGGCCAGCUAUCAAAAAGGAUCCAAAGACACAAAAAAUACAACUGUUCGAUGUUAAAUAAACAAUUCAUUUUCAUAAUUCUGAGUAGAGUCCUUGGUGAUAU